UAUUGAAUUUAAAGGUUAAUGAUUUGCACAUAUGUAGAACCUCACUUUUCCUGGAUAUAUUGCGCAUAUUUAUUCAUUUUCUAAGUCGCAUUGCCCCAUUCAGUAGUGGUAGAAACCAGAGCCGCAGGUGGGCAGUUGCUGUCGGGACUGACCACUGCAAGGUGUUUAUGAAAGUGGAACACAAUGAGUGGUGGUACUGUGAGUGUCAGCCUUGCGGACUUGGAUUUUUCCAUAAAGCCACAGCUCGGUAAGAACUUUGAGACUGAGUCUGACACAUCAGACUCCCUGGUUCCAGUUAGCAGGCCACUGUACACAGUAGAGGACGUUCUGGCAUGGACACCACACAAAGAUGGCUGUAAGACGGAUGCCUUCAAUAUUGCCACUGUCCCUCUUGCCAAGAGAACUCAGCAAGAUGGUGUGCCCAAGACCCUGGUGUGUCACGACAUGAAGGGAGGCUAUAUUGAAGACAGGUUUGUUCAGGGGACAUGGAGGGAUGACUGUUACCUGAUCUCUCACUGGCAGCACAUCGACACGUUUGUGUACUUCAGUCACCACUUCAUCACACUGCCUCCUCCUGGCUGGACCAAUGCUGCUCACAAACAUGGCGUCAAGGUUCUAGGAACAUUGAUCACGGAGUGGGAUGAUGGGGCCAAACGCUGCCAGCAGUUUCUGAAGGACCAGGUCAGCUGUAGGGGUCUGGCUGACAAACUGGCACAGAUGGCUCAGCACUACAACUUUGAUGGUUGGCUCAUCAACAUAGAGAAUCCUCUAGAGGCUCCACAGGUAAAAACCCUGGUCGGCUUUGUGUCCUACCUGACUGAGGUGAUGCACACAGCUGUACAGGGGAGUGAGGUCAUCUGGUAUGACAGCGUUAUCACCACAGGGGAACUCAAGUGGCAAGAUGAGCUCAACGACAAGAACAGGAUAUUUUUUGACUCCUGUGAUGGGAUAUUCCUGAACUACACUUGGAAAGAAGAUGGCCUUCAGCGUUCUGUAGAGAUGGCAGGAGAGCGACAACAUGAUGUGUACGUUGGUGUGGAUGUGUUUGGCAGGAACUGCUAUGGUGGAGGGGGCUUCAACAGCAACAAGGCCCUGUCUGUCAUCAGGAAACAAGGUCUAUCAGCAGCUGUCUUUGCUCCAGGCUGGGUGCUUGAAAAGCUUGGAGCUGAUAAUUUUUCUACUAACCAGAACAAGUUUUGGGACCUUUUGUCUGACCUAUGUCCCAUGCAUGGACCUGCAGCACUGCCUUUUGUAACAUCUUUCUGCCAGGGACAAGGCCAAAACUUCUACAUCAAUGGUCAGGUUGCCAGGAGAGGCCCGUGGUACAACCUGAGUUGUCAGCAGGUCCAAACAACAUUUACCUCAGCUCAGUUCUCUCAGGGAAAAGACCAGACAGGAGAAAAUAGAACCAUGCGUGUCUGUACCAAGGAUGCCUUCCAUGGUGGUGGCAGCCUGCUUUUGGGGGGAAACUUUGCACAUGCUUGUGAUGCCUUGUCUUUCAGGCUGUUCAGCUCAGAAAUUCCAGUCCAGUCCCCUCUCCUGGUCAGCUACACCUUCAAGUGGGAGACAGGUGCUGACCAUGCAGCUGUGCACCUGAUUCUCAGGACCACAGGACAGACCAAACAGUGGGUCCUUAUGGAGGGGGAUGGAGACACCAUUGAUAAAACAUCUAUCAGGAACAAUACUGGAGACAAUUCCACAGAUCAAGCAGUGUACUUCAUCGCUCUUCCUGAGAAAGAGUGUGACAGGCUGUACAAGGAAUGUUUUGGGUGUACCAGAGAGGAAACAGCAGAGCAGGGCUGGUGGACAAGGUUCUACAUGCUGACAGAUGACACUGGAACAGAAUGUAUGAUUGAAGGAAUCAACCUUCAGUACUCGAGGACAGGGACUGUGGAAGGGGACACUGAAGAAGUGUGCCUUAGACUGGGAGAAAUCAGGAUAAUGAAUGCUGGAGAUCUGGAAAAAAAUCAGAAAUCAACCAUCACCAAUGUAACCUGCAGGGAUGUCUCUUGGAAAAAGUCACCACAUCUCACUGCUACAACUCCAGCUGGUGACUCCAUGGCAGCUAAAACAGUUCUCUUCAGUGCCACCCUUCAGUGGGAGUACCCACAAGUCUCUUCUUCCAGCUUUGAUGUGUACUUCUGGUACAAAGGGGCAGCUGGCAAUACUACAGAUAAGGUGUAUGUGGGGAGGGCACAGAACAGCAUGUAUCGUGUGGUAGACUUACCAGUCAUACACGAUGAAGCUGAUCCAGGCAACAGUAUAGAGUUUAUUGUGUACCCAAUCCAGUGAUAAAACUACAAAAUGUAUAUGUGCUACUGACAAUCAGACAAAUACAAUAAUGAGUCCAGAGAAUUGCAAUAAUGUGUAGAAAAUACACAAAUGUUUGUAAAUCUUUCAAUUUUCCCCAUUUGUCACAUCAAGGAGAUUUUGUAUGUAGGAUUGAUUCCUUUGCAAACAAUAGAUUAGUUACCUCUAGUACACGGCUAUUAAACUAAAUAUAUAAUGUUACAUGUAUACGGCAAUGCACUAAAAAAACUUUGCAGUGACUGACUAUUGUAGGGGUAAUAUAUAUAAUGCAACAAUUUGACCGGGUCAGAGAUAUUUUACUAGAAACUCCUUGGGCAGAUCAUGGAGUUUCAUUUUAACCUCCGUGGGCAGAUACAGAAAAUUUGAGAAAUGUAACACUUUUGUUACAUACUCCUGUAUGAAAUUUAGGCAGCUUUUUGCUAAGACUUAUCUUUCAACAGACCUUGUUAUAAAAUCGGUUAAGUAUUAAUAUUCAGCAGGGAUAAUGGUAAAAGCAAGGAAUACAAAGAAAUGGAGACUGGUGUUGGGCGUCUACCGGUGGCUUGGGCAGGUUCAGUCCUCAACCUGGUCGUUCCCUAGCAACGAGGCGACCAGCCCUUUCCAGUCCCUUACUAUCGUUAUCAGCAGACAAGCAUAAUAAAAACAUGAGUUGUAUGGGUUUAUUCUACAGAAUAAAUUUUUAAGAUUAUUUGAAACGGUUUUCUAGAGGGAAAGUCUCUACAUCUGGUCCGGUUCAGUUGACCCACUGCCCAAAUUUGCAUACACAAGUGGUGCAGGGAAGCUGGUUGGAUUUGGGGGUAUUUUGAGAGGAAUUGCCGAAGUUUCCCUCAGCCUAGUUAACCCUACGUAUUCGACCAUUUAUCUUACAUAUUUCUUCUCGAUCAAUAUAUCAAUCAGAAGUACUUUUCGUCGUAUCCUGGUCGAACCAAGUACCAAGCUUUGGAAUGUUUGCAUACCAAAAUCCGCCAUGACACUUCUCAAAUGUGUUCGAGGUCCACUACUUUUGGCGUGAUUUUUACCACAGUAGAACGGCAAGAAAUUUGAAAUUUCAAUGCAUUGAAGUCCUGAUAGUUUUGUUUCUCUAUGAAAGUAUUAGAUAACCCAUUAAAAACAGUUAUUUUGUAACGACACACCAGUUUUCACAAGGUACCGGUUUUAACGAGUGCUAUCGCUUCACAAAACAGCCAAAUUACUGUCAUCAAAACCACGACACACAUAAAAAGUCACACAGAUCGGAAAGACCAUACUCUUAACUAUCCAUCUAUACCAUUCAGAUCGGUGUCAACCUCUUCAUAUGCUCAGAAACUCUGCUCCAAGUUGGGCACACAAACACAGAUAGAGACUCGGGAAGCCAUUUUCUCGCAGCACUCAACAGGAAAUAUGGGGUGCU